rnacentral:rRNA from 1 species
GUGUCAGCAGCCGCGGUAAGACAGAGGUGGCAAGCGUUGUUCGGAAUCACUGGGCUUAAAGGGCGUGUAGGCGGUGAGACAAGUCUGAGGUGGAAUCCUCUGGCUUAACCAGAGAAUUGCCUUGGAAACUGUUUUACUUGAGUGAGCGAGGGGAGAGCGGAAUUCCCGGUGUAGCGGUGAAAUGCGUAGAUAUCGGGAGGAAGGCCGGUGGCGAAGGCGGCUCUCUGGCGCUCAACUGACGCUGAGGCGCGAAAGCGUGGGUAGCAAACAGGAUUAGAUACCCUGGUAGUCCACGCCCUAAACGGUGGGCAUUAGGUGUAGGGCCUGUAAGGGUUCUGUGCCGUAGGGAAACCAUUAAAUGCCCCGCCUGGGGAAUACGGCCGCAAGGUUGAA